rnacentral:lncRNA from 1 species
ACGGGUUGGCGGGGAGUGGGGGAGGUGGAGGGCAUGAACAAAAGAUUCACGAGUGAAAAUAGUACAACUUGUUUUAUGUCCAUCUUAGGGAUUUGCAUCCAGUAAAAAUUGUAUCCUCGCACUAGAAUACUAACUUUUGCUCUUUUUUUUUUGCUUGGUACAGUAUACAGUUGUGCUUUCAACUAUAAUCGAGUUAUGGAGACAUCGCAUGGGAUGUUCUUGUAUAGGCAUUUUUUAAAACUGUGCUUUUAUGUAUAAGUCACAUUUUUAAACUAGAUCAAACAAAGGAAGCAAACAAAUGGACACAUACAAAUACACCUCAAAAGUGAAAUCAAA